rnacentral:rRNA from 1 species
UACGUAGGUGGCAAGCGUUGUCCGGAAUUAUUGGGCGUAAAGCGCGCGCAGGCGGUCUUUUAAGUCUGAUGUGAAAUCUUGCGGCUCAACCGUAAGCGGUCAUUGGAAACUGAAAGACUUGAGUGCAGAAGAGGAGAGUGGAAUUCCACGUGUAGCGGUGAAAUGCGUAGAUAUGUGGAGGAACACCAGUGGCGAAGGCGGCUCUCUGGUCUGUAACUGACGCUGAGGCGCGAAAGCGUGGGGAGCAAACAGG